rnacentral:sRNA from 1 species
GCCAGGUGCAGUGGUGCACACCUGUAAUCCCAGUGGCUCAGGAGGCUGAGGCAGGAGGAAUGAGAGUUCAAAGCCAAUCUCACAAAAGUGAGGCACUAAGCAACUCUAUGAUACCUGUCUCUA